CUAUAACAGUGAGAAAAGGUAUAGUUGUUUCUAGGCAUGUUAACGAAGCAGGUGUUUCCUUUGUGUCCUAUCUUUGCAUUAAUUUUAAAUAACCUUCACCACAGCUACAGUUUUUUUUCUGGGCUCUAUCAGCUUUAAUGCAACGGCAGAAGCUUAAGCAACUGGUCAUGAGAGGUCAAGUGGUUUACUUCUGUAUCCCUUCCAUGUACAAGAGACAUCCAUUUGAUUCUCAAGAGAGCCAAAUAGGUCAGCCUCUUCAGCGAUUCUAAAAGAUUUCAAGAGCAGAGGCAGAAGUAGACUGGAAUUUAGUUCAAUUCAUUUCUGAGGUUGCCCUAAGCCAUCAGAGGGUUCUCGCUUCAGCACAAGAUCCGGAGUUUUGAAGAAGCGCGAGGUCUGGACCGAAUUAAUGAGCGAAUGCCACCCCGAAAGGAUAGCAUACACGCUGGUGGGCCAAUGAAAUCUGUAACCUCAGCACACUCACAUGCUGCGCACAGGAGCGACCAAGGGAAGAAAGCCCAUUCAUGACUUAGAGUCCUGCCGUGGCUCAGGUGGAUCUAAAACUCAAGAACAAAUUCUAUUUAUUUAUUAUUGGAAAAUGAAAAGCAACUCAAAACAACUUCAACGUGGAGGUGCAUUUAUAAUUCAGUCUGCAUUUAUUCUGUAAAAAGGUGGCUGUUUUAUAAAUUCUUUUAAUUUAUGUUCAAUAUAUAUAAAAAGUGCAUCUGUUUUGUUUUUCCCUUUUUUCUCCAUAAUUUUAAGAAAUGAAUCUGAUUGUUGUCAACACAUUUGUGAAGUCUUGUGCUAUAAAGGGGAACUUCCCCUAAUAAAAGGGCCUUGGAAACCUCAAACCUGGGUUUCUGACUUG
rnacentral:lncRNA from 1 species